CAAUCUCAUCUUGCUUUUCUGGAAAGCAGGGAGAUCAUUCUCGUGGAAGGCCUGAAACUUGAUGAUGUCCCAGCAGGAGUAUAUUCACUCAGUUGCUUGCCUCUUAGAUUGGUUCACUCUGAGGCAUCACCAAUACGAUGCAUUCUGAUCACAUGAUGGGGUUCAUGCAAGUUUGUGGUCAAACCUGGUUUUCAAUUGCACGAUGCUAAUGCUGAAGGGUGAAGCUGACGCAACCUAGCCCGAAUACACUUAGGUCCA